AGAAGGCAGGUCAAUUAUACGCUUUUGACGUGGCGCAGCGAUUCUUCUGAAAAGCAAUGCCAUAAGAUAUAUAUAUAUACUUUGGUUAUAGUCGCAGGUGCUAACUUGGGCGCACAAUGUGGCUACACCUGUGCGACAGCUGCCAGUUUAUUCAAGGAUAAAAACGUCACGUGACUGGCCAGCUUUUGCGGUUUUUACUAACCAUGAACAAACUCAUAGUCAUAUGAUGGUUUAGAAGAUUUUUAGAGAAUAUUUAGAAUGAAGCGCAGAAGAAAAAAAAACUCAGAUCUCUCUUUCUAAAAGGUCAAUGAUUUCCAUCCGUAGGAAUAUUAGAAAAUCAGUGGAUGAAAGGAUUUCGAAGAUUUUGGUAUUUACGUCUCUCUUUUGGCUUCGCUUAAAAAUUUGGGGUAUAUAUUUGAAAAUUCUUCUACUUGGCGAAAGUGAUGGACUUCCAAAACGUGGGUUUCGAAUGUCGAGAAAGAGAAAAAGAGACAGAGAGAGUUGAUAAUGCUGAUGGCAAUAUAGUAAAGCGUUUUGAGGGUCUCGGAAACACGAGACACACGCGACUAGAAUUUCACGGUAGCCAAAGGAAUGAAAGGACGAGAAUUGCUGUUACUCUCUAAACACAACGGGUGUUCCUGCAGUAAUGGCUGAAUAAUAAAAAAAAGUGGAAGGUGAAGGAAAAAAAAAGGAAUUUCCCCCACGAAUUCCUGGCAAAAUCCCGACAGCGAAAUGUGAAUUCAAUUAGAGAACAAAGAGCUUGCGUCGCUUUUCUCAUCGAAAGCAAAAAUGAUCGCUUCUCUUUUUUUUCUCUUCUUCUUUUAUUUUGUUGUGGGUAGAUGGUUAGCCCGUUCUGCAUCGAUGAGGUGGAAGACUGAAAAAGGGGAAUCCCCAUGACGCUAGACGAAGUAGGUAAGUACAUGUGCAUUUUAC